AACGAACGCUGGCGGCGUGCCUAACACAUGAAGUCGCACGAGAAAGGGUAGCAAUCCUCUGAGUAAAGUGGCGCACGGGUGAGUAACACGUAGGUAACCUACCUCUAAGACCGGGAUAACUUGUCGAAAGACGGGCUAAUACCAGAUAAGACCACAGUCCUUGCGGGGACCGGGGUCAAAGGUGGCCUCUACACGUAAGCUAUCACUUAGAGAUGGGCCUGCGCACCAUUAGCUAGNGGUGGGGUAACGGCCACCAAGGCAAGAAUGGUUAGCUGGUCUGAGAGGAUGAUCAGCCACACUGGGACUGAGACACGGCCCAGACUCCUACGGGAGGCAGCAGUGGGAAUCUUGCGCAAUGGGCGAAAAGCCUGACGCAGCAACGCCGCGUGGGUGAUGAA
rnacentral:rRNA from 1 species